GACGAACGCUGGCGGCGUGCUUAACACAUGCAAGUCGAACGGAAAGGCCCUGCUUUUGUGGGGUGCUCGAGUGGCGAACGGGUGAGUAACACGUGAGUAACCUGCCCUUGGCUUUGGGAUAACUUCAGGAAACUGGGGCUAAUACCGGAUAGGAGCUCCUGCUGCAUGGUGGGGGUUGGAAAGUUUCGGCGGUUGGGGAUGGACUCGCGGCUUAUCAGCUUGUUGGUGGGGUAGUGGCUUACCAAGGCUUUGACGGGUAGCCGGCCUGAGAGGGUGACCGGCCACAUUGGGACUGAGAUACGGACCAGACUCCUACGGGAGGCAGCAGUGGGGAAUAUUGCACAAUGGGCGGAAGCCUGAUGCAGCAACGCCGCGUGCGGGAUGACGGCCUUCGGGUUGUAAACCGCUUUCGCCUGUGACGAAGCGUGAGUGACGGUAAUGGGUAAAGAAGCACCGGCUAACUACGUG
rnacentral:rRNA from 1 species